rnacentral:rRNA from 1 species
CCAAUAGCGUAUAUUAAAGUUGCUGCAGUUAAAAAGCUCGUAGUUGAAUUUCGGGAUCAAUAUGUUGGUCGUGCCUUGGUACGUACUAGCUUAUUGAUUUCUCCCUUCUGACGAACUAUGAUGUCAUUAAUUUGGUGUCAUUGGGAAUCAGAACUGUUACUUUGAAAAAAUUAGAUUGUUUAAAGCAGGCUCACGCUUGAAUACAUUAGCAUGGAAUAAUGAAAUAGGACGUUUGAUUCUAUUUUGUUGGUUUCUAGGAUUGACGUAAUGAUUAAUAGGGAUAGUUGGGGGCAUUAGUAUUCAAUUGUCAGAGGUGAAAUUCUUGGAUUUAUUGAAGACUAACUACUGCGAAAGCAUUUGCAAAGGAUGUUUUCAUUAAUCAAGAACGAAAGUUAGGGGAUCGAAGAUGAUCAGAUACCGUCGUAGUCUUAACCAUAAACUAUGCCGACUAGGGAUCGGAUGAUGUUAAUUUUUAAUGACUCAUUCGGCGCCUUACG